CCCUUAGAUGUUCUGGGCCGCACGCGCGCUACACUGAUGCAUUCAACGAGUCUAAAACCUGGUCUGAUAGGGCUGGGUAAUCUUUUGAAAGUGCAUCGUGAUUGGGAUAGAUGAUUGCAAUUCUUCGUCUUGAACGAGGAAUUCCUAGUAAGCACAAGUCAUCAGCUUGUGUUGAUUACGUCCCUGCCCUUUGUACACACCGCCCGUCGCUCCUACCGAUUGAAUGUUCCGGUGAGCUCUUCGGACUGCGCGGUCUGCAGUUUCUGCGUUCCGUGCGGAAAGUUGCGCAAACCUUAACAUUUAGAGGAAGGAGAAGUCGUAACA
rnacentral:rRNA from 1 species